rnacentral:rRNA from 1 species
GAUGAACGCUGGCGGCGUGCUUAACACAUGCAAGUCGGACGGUGAAGCAGAGCUUGCUCUGUGGAUCAGUGGCGAACGGGUGAGUAACACGUGAGCAACCUGCCCUGGACUCUGGGAUAAGCGCUGGAAACGGCGUCUAAUACUGGAUAUGAGACGUGGCCGCAUGGUCAACGUUUGGAAAGAUUUUUUGGUUCAGGAUGGGCUCGCGGCCUAUCAGCUUGUUGGUGAGGUAAUGGCUCACCAAGGCGUCGACGGGUAGCCGGCCUGAGAGGGUGACCGGCCACACUGGGACUGAGACACGGCCCAGACUCCUACGGGAGGCAGCAGUGGGGAAUAUUGCACAAUGGGCGAAAGCCUGAUGCAGCAACGCCGCGUGAGGGAUGACGGCCUUCGGGUUGUAAACCUCUUUUAGCAAGGAAGAAGCGAAAGUGACGGUACUUGCAGAAAAAGCGCCGGCUAACUACGUGCCAGCCGCCGCAGUAAGAC